rnacentral:rRNA from 1 species
GAAUUUUGGGCAAUGGCCGAAAGGCUGACCCAGCGACGCCGCGUGCGGGAGGACGCCCUUCGGGGUGUAAACCGCUGUCAGAGGGGACGAAUGACGAGGGAGGGAAUACUUCUCUCGAGUGACGGUACCCUCAGAGGAAGCGCCGGCUAACUCUGUGCCAGCAGCCGCGGUAAGACAGAGGGCGCGAGCGUUGUUCGGAAUCACUGGGCGUAAAGCGCGCGCAGGCGGACCUGUGCGUCCGGAGUGAAAUCUCGCCGCUCAACGGCGAGGCUGCUUGGGAAACGGCAGGUCUGGGGACCGGUAGAGGCCGGUGGAAUUGCUGGUGUAGCGGUGGAAUGCGUAGAGAUCAGCAAGAACACCCGUGGCGAAGGCGGCCGGCUGGGCCGGAUCCGACGCUGAGGCGCGAAAGCGUGGGGAGCAAACAGG